CAGAAACUGCCCCUGGAGCAUCUGUCCCUUUGUACACCGAGGGAGAUGAGCACAUUUGCAGAAUUAAUGGUCUGUGAUGACAUCCCAGUGACCCUGAGAAAGUUGCUGAUAUACUUAGAGACAAGAUACUUGAAAUACCUGAAUCCUGGUCUGGCAGGACCAGGUCUGCAGCAAGGCUCAGUUCAGAAGGAAGCUCACGUCAACCAGUCUGCAACUUCCCCUCCCAAGCUGAGCAGAAGGGGAAAACUGAUAUGGAUCUUGUGUCAGCUGCUGUCUGCAGGGCAUGAACAAGUGCACAAGGACCAGGAGGGAGAAAGAAGUGCUGGAAUGAGAUUGUCCAGGGUGAGACACGUGGCUCAGACGUCCUGACUGCCAGGGAGCCAGGGAAGGGACCAGUGGAUGCACAGCGUGUCCAGUGAUGAACCUGGAUGGGAAAAAGGCUCCAGUGAGACACCAAAAGAAGGGCACCCAAGUCACCCAGACUGGAUUUCAGGAACAACUUAUUCUGCUCUCUUUCCUUUCUACCUUCUGUAAUUUUUCCCAGCACCUCCUUUUCUCCUCUCCACUCCUCUAUCCCAGGGAAGCUGAGGAAGCAUGACAGCCUGUUAGUGAUGGAGGGCUUAUGGGAAGGGCUAAUUGCUUCCUCUGCUUUGUUCAGAUGUACAAAUAGACCAUUACUUACAAUCAUUACCCAGCCAUCAUCCAUCAUACAGAGUAGUUCUAUUUUCCAUGCACUAAAUAUGUCAUGGCCCCCAAAUUUGUCACUAAUUGUACAAAAGGCCUGUGCAGGCCUGUGUUAGGAGCCAGUAAUUUGUUAAUAUAAGAUAUGAGACUUUGACUUUAUCUCAAAUUUCCAAAUGUUAUUGAGGUAGUUAAAUUUCUUAUUUGUUUAAGAAGCAGCACAAUCCUCAACUUUCUGUCACUUUUAUGAAACCAUAUAUAAGUCACAGCAAUUCCCAAGUUACAGCAUAAUUUUCUGUUAUAACUAUAAUAUAAUACAAUAAUUUAUUAUUAAUAUAUAUAAAUAAAAUACAUCAAUAACUAUAAUAACUAAACUAU
rnacentral:lncRNA from 1 species